ensembl:lncRNA LINC02210 long intergenic non-protein coding RNA 2210
CCCCACUUCUAGGCUUGGUUGAACCGUGCAGAUACCUUCUCGAAACAAAAGAUUUUCCUACCUGCUUAUACUUGGUAACCGAGGGAAUUUCUAAGACUUCUUGCUCAUUUCUGAGUAUUGUCUUUAUAUCCUGACACUAUGAAUGCUACUUGGAUGCCUCUUAAGGGUCUCUUCUGCAGGGUCCCCAUGAAUUGUGGCUGAAGUUGUGCACAAACAAGUAUCUCCAGUGACAGGAGUGCCUUCUGAGGCAGCCAUUGCAUCUUCAUCUGCUGACACUCUGCUAGGCUGACUUCUGUAGUUUUCACCACUGAUCUUCAGUCCACCUCACAGAGCUCUAUAAAACGCUUAAAUCCUCUUUACAUCAUAGACUUUCAGCUACUUGAAGAUAGCCAUCAGCCGCUACGUGACUCUUUUCUCCAGGUAAAAUCUCCAAUUAUAGCAGCUGUUCUUCAUAUGGCCUAGUGUCUAAUGCCUUUGCUCUCCUGAUCAUUUUUUGAAUUUUUUCAGUUUGCCCCGGUCUCAGAGUGUGGGAUCCAGCACUGCCCAUAUAACGUUCCCAGGAUGUUCUGACUGAUGUAGAGUAAGCCUGGUAUCACCCAUGUCCUAGGAACUGAGACCCCGUCACUACUGGUGAUGCAGCCUAGGAUCAAACUGUUCUUUUGGCAGCCACUUCACAUUUUUGUGUUAAGGGCUUACUCUUAGCCAAACACAAAUUUUG